rnacentral:rRNA from 1 species
GCUUUAAAGGCUUNGUCGGGGGUGCUCAUCUCCGGGUGGAGCCUGCGGUUUAAUUGGACUCANCGCCGGACAACUCACCGGGGACGACAGCUNAAUGUAGGCCAGGCUGAAGACCUUGCCUGAAUCGCUGAGAGGAGGUGCAUGGCCGUCGCCAGUUCGUUCUGUGAAGCAUCCUGUUAAGUCAGGCAACGAGCGAGACCCGUGCCCGCUGUUACCAGCAUAUCCUCCGGGAUGAUGGGUACUCUGUGGGGACCGCCGGUGUUAAAUCGGAGGAAGGUGCGGGCCACGGUAGGUCAGUAUGCCCCGAAUUUCCCGGGCUACACGCGGGCUACAAUGAUAUGGGACAAUGGUGUCCCUCCCCUGAAAAGGGGUGGU